rnacentral:rRNA from 1 species
GCUUGUUGGGGUUGUAGGACACUCUAUACGGAGUUACAAAAGAACAUGUUAGACGAAUCAUCUGGAAAGAUGAAUCAAAGAAGGUAAUAAUCCUGUAGUCGAAAACAUAUUCUCUCUUGAGUGGAUCCUGAGUACGACGGAGCACGUGAAAUUCCGUCGGAAUCUGGGAGGACCAUCUCCUAAGGCUAAAUACUCUCUAGUGACCGAUAGUGAACCAGUACCGUGAGGGAAAGGUGAAAAGUACCCCGGAAGGGGAGUGAAAGAGAACUUGAAACCGUGUGCUUACAAGUAGUCAGAGCCCGUUAAUGGGUGAUGGCGUGCCUUUUGUAGAAUGAACCGGCGAGUUACGAUCUGAUGCAAGGUUAAGCAGCAAAUGUGGAGCCGCAGCGAAAGCGAGUCUGAAUAGGGCGUUGAGUAUUUGGUCGUAGACCCGAAACCAGGUGAUCUACCCUUGGUCAGGUUGAAGUUCAGGUAACACUGAAUGGAGGACCGAACCGACUUACGUUGAAAAGUGAGCGGAUGAACUGAGGGUAGCGGAGAAAUUCCAAUCGAACUUGGAGAUAGCUGGUUCUCUCCGAAAUAGCUUUAGGGCUAGCCUCAAGUGAUGAUUAUUGGAGGUAGAGCACUGUUUGGACGAGGGGCCCCUCUCGGGUUACCGAAUUCAGACAAACUCCGAAUGCCAAUUAAUUUAACUUGGGAGUCAGAACAUGGGUGAUAAGGUCCGUGUUCGAAAGGGAAACAGCCCAGACCACCAGCUAAGGUCCCAAAAUAUAUGUUAAGUGGAAAAGGAUGUGGCGUUGCCCAGACAACUAGGAUGUUGGCUUAGAAGCAGCCAUCAUUUAAAGAGUGCGUAAUAGCUCACUAGUCGAGUGACACUGCGCCGAAAAUGUACCGGGGCUAAACAUAUUACCGAAGCUGUGGAUUGUCCUUUGGACAAUGGUAGGAGAGCGUUCUAAGGGCGUCGAAGCAUGAUCGCAAGGACAUGUGGAGCGCUUAGAAGUGAGAAUGCCGGUGUGAGUAGCGAAAGACGGGUGAGAAUCCCGUCCACCGAUUGACUAAGGUUUCCAGAGGAAGGCUCGUCCGCUCUGGGUUAGUCGGGUCCUAAGCUGAGGCCGACAGGCGUAGGCGAUGGAUAACAGGUUGAUAUUCCUGUACCACCUAGUAUCGUUUUAAUCGAUGGGGGGACGCAGUAGGAUAGGCGAAGCGUGCUGUUGGAGUGCACGUCCAAGCAGUAAGGCUGAGUGUUAGGCAAAUCCGGCACUCAUAAGGCUGAGCUGUGAUGGGGAGAGGAAAUUGUUUCCUCGAGUCG